AUGGGGGAAUUCUCCAAGGAAUCUUGCCCUUCUGUGAAGAACAUUUUGCUAUUGGAUUCUGAGGGGAAGCGUGUUGCUGUGAAGUACUUCUCGGAUGAUUGGCCAAAUAACGCAUCUAGGUUGACCUUUGAAAAGUCCAUUUUUACUAAAACUCUGAAGACAAAUGCACGCUCCGAAGCUGAGAUAACAUUGCUUGAUGGUUUUAUUGUUGUUUACAAAUUUGUACAAGACCUACACUUUUUCGUCACUGCCGGAGAUGAUGAGAAUGAGCUCAUCAUAGCAAAUGUGCUACAGGGUUUUGCUGAUUCGGUUGGUCUUCUACUCAGGGGUGAUGUCGAGAAGAGGACUGCACUUGAGAACUUGGACUUGAUACUUCUCUGCAUUGAUGAGAUUAUUGAUGGCGGCAUAAUUCUUGAAACAGAUGCGAACACCAUUGCGGGGAAGGUUGCAACCAAUGCUGCUGACGGCUCUGUUCCCUUCUCUGAGCAGACAAUAUCUCAAGCUCUGGCCACAGCCAGGGAACACUUUGCAAGAUCUCUUCUGAAAUGA
rnacentral:rRNA from 1 species